rnacentral:rRNA from 1 species
UAGUCAUAUGCUUGUCUCAAAGAUUAAGCCAUGCAUGUCCAAGUAUAAACGAGUUUAUACAGUGAAACUGCGAACGGCUCAUUAAAUCAGUUAUAAUUUAUUUGAUAGUACCUUACUACUUGGAUAACCGUGGUAAUUCUAGAGCUAAUACAUGCAAAAAAACCCGACUUCUGGAAGGGUUGUAUUUAUUAGAUAAAAAACCAACCUGGGCAACCAGUUCUUUGGUGAUUCAUAAUAACUUGUCGAAUCGCAUGGCCUUGUGCCGGCGAUGGUUCAUU